CAGUAGCCGCGGGAAUACGAAGGGUGCAAGCGUUACUCGGAAUUACUGGGCGUAAAGCGUGCGUAGGUGGUGGUUUAAGUCCGUUGUGAAAGCCCUGGGCUCAACCUGGGAAUUGCAGUGGAUACUGGAUCACUAGAGUGUGGUAGAGGAUAGUGGAAUUUCCGGUGUAGCAGUGAAAUGCGUAGAGAUCGGAAGGAACAUCUGUGGCGAAGGCGACUAUCUGGGCCAACACUGACACUGAGGCACGAAAGCGUGGGGAGCAAACAGGAUUAGAUACCCGGGUAGUCCCUGUCUCUUAUAC
rnacentral:rRNA from 1 species